rnacentral:rRNA from 1 species
AUUAGAGUUUGAUCCUGGCUCAGGAUGAACGCUAGCGGCAGGCUUAAUAACAUGCAAGUCGAGGGGAGCAGGGCGGUAGCAAUACCGCCGCUGGCGACCGGCAAACGGGUGCGGAACACGUACGCAACUUACCCUGAACUGGGGCAUAGCCCGGGGAAACCCGGAUUUAAUACCCCGUAACACUGUGAGGUGGCAUCACCUUGUAGUUAGAGCUCCGGCGGUUUGGGAUGGGCGUGCGGCUGAUUAGGUAGUUGGUUGGGGUAACGGCCCACCAAGCCAACGAUCAGUAACUGGUGUGAGAGCACGACCAGUCACACGGGCACUGAGACACGGGCCCGACUCCUACGGGAGGCAGCAGUAAGGAAUAUUGGGCAAUGGAGGCAACUCUGACCCACCAUGCCGCGUGGAGGAUGAAGGCCCUCUGGGAAACUUCUUUUACCUGGGACGAAACCGCCCUUUUCCAAGGGCGUUG